GGGCCCGCACAAGCGGAGGAACAUGUGGUUUAAUUCGAUGAUACGCGAGGAACCUUACCCGGGCUUGAAAGUUAGCGCUUGAGACAGAGACGUCUCAUCCCAGCAAUGGGCGCGAAACUAGGUGCUGCAUGGUUGUCGUCAGCUCGUGCCGUGAGGUGUCGGGUUAAGUCCCAUAACGAGCGCAACCCCUAUCGUUAGUUGCUAGCAGUUUAAGCUGAGGACUCUAACGAGACUGCCGGUGUAAGCCGAGAGGAAGGUGGGGAUGACGUCAAAUCAGCACGGCCCUUACGUCCGGGGCUACACACGUGUUACAAUGGAUGGUACAGAGGGUCGCUAGCCAGUGAUGGUGUGCCAAUCUCAAAAGCCCAUUCUCAGUUCGGAUCGCAGGCUGCAACUCGCCUGCGUGAAGUUGGAUUCGCUAGUAAUCGCAGAUCAGCCAUGCUG
rnacentral:rRNA from 1 species